rnacentral:rRNA from 1 species
UAUGGAGAGUUUGAUCCUGGCUCAGGACGAACGCUGGCGGCGUGCCUAAUACAUGCAAGUCGAGCGGACGAUUCAAAAGCUUGCUUUUGAAUCGUUAGCGGCGGACGGGUGAGUAACACGUGGGCAACCUGCCCUGUAGACGGGGAUAACACCGAGAAAUCGGUGCUAAUACCGGAUAAUACGAAAUGUCGCAUGACGUUUCGUUGAAAGGCGGCGCAAGCUGCCGCUACAGGAUGGGCCCGCGGCGCAUUAGCUAGUUGGUGAGGUAACGGCUCACCAAGGCGACGAUGCGUAGCCGACCUGAGAGGGUGAUCGGCCACACUGGGACUGAGACACGGCCCAGACUCCUACGGGAGGCAGCAGUAGGGAAUCUUCCGCAAUGGACGAAAGUCUGACGGAGCAACGCCGCGUGAGCGAAGAAGGCCUUCGGGUCGUAAA